rnacentral:piRNA from 1 species
UCCCAGACACCUGAACCAAUCAACCAUGCA